CACUCCACAGAUAGUUAAUCUGGUAGUACUCCAAAUUGGGUAGUACACUCGGUAGUACUCAUGCUCCACGAUAUCAUGUUUGCAAAAUAUUAUGAAAUGAGAUGUACAAUAAUUAGCAGUACUAAAACUGUACUAUAGUAAAAAUUUAGUACUACUAAACACUUGGGACAUUCUUGAUGAUAAAUGGAUAAGUUUUACUACUACUUGUAGUACAAUCAAACAUGUACUUGUUACACUUAUUUUGUAAAAGUAUGUACUGCAUCAACAAUCUAUAAAAAGGACAGUCAAAUUUGCUAAACUGGAGAUGCCAAGGGGAAAUUGUAGAAGAAGCAGAAAAUGACACUUUGUUGGUGACUUUGGUCUCAAAAGAGUGAUGGUGCCUAUCAUUGUUCUGCUGGUAUACACUGUAUAAUGUUAUUUAUCCUUCUUCUUUUUUUUUUUUUUUAUUUCUUUUUU